UACAGAGGGGGCAAGCGUUGUUCGGAAUUACUGGGCGUAAAGGGCGCGUAGGCGGCCCGCUAAGUCGAACGUGAAAUCCCCGGGCUCAACCCGGGAACUGCGUCCGAUACUGGCAGGCUUGAAUCCGGGAGAGGGAUGCGGAAUUCCAGGUGUAGCGGUGAAAUGCGUAGAUAUCUGGAGGAAUACCGGUGGCGAAGGCGGCAUCCUGGACCGAGAUUGACACUGAUGAGCGAAAGCUAGGGGAGCAAACGGGG
rnacentral:rRNA from 1 species